GUGCGGAUGGCCGAGUGGUCUAAGGCGGUGGUUUUAGGCACCAUUCUUCAUUGGCGUGGGUUCAAAUCCCACUCCGCACA
rfam:Phaeodactylum tricornutum CCAP 1055/1 chromosome 28, whole genome shotgun sequence.